rnacentral:rRNA from 1 species
GACGAACGCUGGCGGCGUGCUUAACACAUGCAAGUCGAGCGGUAAGGCCCGUUUCGGGGGUACACGAGCGGCGAACGGGUGAGUAACACGUGGGUGACCUGCCCUCAGCUCUGGGAUAAGCCUGGGAAACCGGGUCUAAUACUGGAUAUGACUCCAUGACGCAUGUUGUGGGGUGGAAAGCCUUGUGCGGCUGAGGAUGGGCCCGCGGCCUAUCAGCUUGUUGGUGGGGUGAUGGCCUACCAAGGCGACGACGGGUAGCCGGCCUGAGAGGGCGACCGGCCACACUGGGACUGAGACACGGCCCAGACUCCUACGGGAGGCAGCAGGUGGGGAAUCUUGCGCAAGUGGGCGAAAGCCUGACGCAGCGACGCCGCGUGAGGAUGAC